rnacentral:lncRNA from 1 species
UUGAAAGCAGACUUUCGGCCGCCGAAGGUAAUGUUCGGCCGCCGAAAGUGCCUGACUUUCGUCUCUGGAGAGAGGGUUCGGCCGCCGAAGGUGCCGCCGAACCUACCCGAGUUUCGUCUCUGGAGGAGACUUUCGGCCGCCGAAGGUGCCGCCGAAAGUGCCUGUCCAGCCUUUUCAUGGCUGUUUUCUAUGCAUGUUUCAGUGAUGUUUAGAGGGGUUUUUGGGUAGUUGCUUAUGAGUUGUUAGAAUGUGUUUAGUACCUCAUGUGAGUCCAUCUGUGUAGGAUUGGACCUGAGGAGAGGUGUCUAGCUUCAGUGCUAGUUGACCCUGAGUUUGUUGAGCAGUGGCUUCAGGUGAGUAGAACUAAACCAAAUCUUUCAUUUUAAGAAAAUCAAUGCCUAAAGCAUGUUCAUGCAUCAUGAUUAUAUGUAGUAGGUUGAUUGCACUAGUCUCACGAAUAUGACGCAUUGCAUUACUUGAUGUUGAUGGAGGAAGGGUGGACCGAGGCGACUUCAAUAGCCCAUAUCUGUCACGCGUCUUGUCUUAGUCCUUUGAGAGCCGGACAAGUACAUGUAGGAAAGUCCAUGUGAGCUCUCUGUGGACCAGACACCAUGUCAUGUAUGUUACAGGCCUUUGUGAGCUCCUAUGGGGGAGCCGGGCACCGACAGAGGGAUUUUUGAUGUCAUGUCCAUCCUCUGAGAGGAAAGAUGCAUGCAAAAAGACAGACUCUCAGAAACCAGGGUCCGUGGGGAGUAAAUAUUGCAU